UACAGAGGGUGCAAACGUUGCUCGGAAUCAUUGGGCGUAAAGCGCACGUAGGCGGUUUGGUAAGUCGGGUGUGAAAGCCCUCGGCUUAACCGAGGAGGUGCAUUCGAAACUACCAAGCUAGAAUACUCAAGAGGGUCUCGGAAUUCCCGGUGUAGAGGUGAAAUUCGUAGAUAUCGGGAGGAACACCAGUGGCGAAGGCGGAGACCUGGGGAGAUAUUGACGCUGAGGUGCGAAAGCGUGGGGAGCAAACAGG
rnacentral:rRNA from 1 species